rnacentral:misc_RNA from 1 species
UCCGGUUUUUUGACCGGCAGUCUCACUAAAGUUCUCAACUAAAUGGUAGCAACUAGUGAUAAGGGUUGCGCUCGUUGCGUCACUUAAGACAACAUCUCACGACACGAGCUGACGACAGCCAUGCAGCACCUGUGUCUAGGUUCCCGAAGGCACGGAAAUAUCUCUAUUUCCUUCCUAGCAUGUCAAGAGCAGGUAAGGUUUUUCGCGUUGCAUCGAAUUAAUCCACAUCAUCCACCGCUUGUGCGGGUCCCCGUCAAUUCCUUUGAGUUUUAAUCUUGCGACCGUACUCCCCAGGCGGUCUACUUCACGCGUUAGCUUCGCUACUGAGAUCGCUCCCAACAGCAAGUAGACAUCGUUUAGGGCGUGGACUAC